CAGGUUGUUGAAGGGACUUUGUACAUCGUGGAUUUGGCGAUUUCCAGGACCGUCUGCCGUAAACCCCCCAGCGUCCAAAAUCUGUCCAAAUGCAACUUUCAGGCUCCUCGCAAGACGCUUCAGUGUCACGUUGAGGUUUUGGUGGUUCCCGGGCAGAAAAAGACCAGGACUCUGGAGUUCAGCUGUAAAGCCUGAAACCAGCAGCUGCCUCCACCUUCUUCAUCAUCCUCCUCCCUGAUGGAGUUUACUGUGAUGGUUUCGUCGGCUCCCCCUGCAGCUCCUCAUCUGUAACACUAAACCUUUCUCCAGUUUUCCUGCUAAUUUCUGUAUUUACGUGUAGUGACGCAGAGACUGUGCUGUCUGUAAUCUUUGGUUGUGCUGAGUGCAGACAAGGCCACCUGCUGGUCAUUUAUUGUAAAAUCUGCAAUAAUAAAACUGCAAACCAA